rnacentral:ncRNA from 1 species
UGGCCCAACCGGGCUGUGGAUACCGGCCUUUUAUUUUU